AGCCGUAUAUACAUGCUUGCUAGACUUUGAGCCACACAUUUACUAUUUACUGCUUAUGAGCAUUGAGUGUGGUCAAGCUGUGUAGACCCUUAGGAGCUUGUCAUGUGGUUAAAUCAAGAUUUCACUUGCACGUUCACUCAUAUAUGCUACUUCUAUUCCGGAAGUACCAUCUACAUAUAUCCAUCCAUUUCCAUCUCCAGAACCACCUAAAAAUAUUCUACUCCUAACCCGGGAGAGAAUAACCAAAAAUAUUUCUGUUUUCCCCUGUGAAAUAAAUGCUCAAGUUAUCUUGUUACUACCACUUGCUAUAUUAUCUCAAGAGAUGAGUGCUCUAAAAAAAAGAGAUACGAGGAAAUAAAAAGGAGCAAGUGCUCGGAACCUCGAAAGAAAAGAAAAAGUGAGACGAGAGGUAAAAAUGGACAAGUGUCCGACAGUAGAAUUAGGGG
rnacentral:lncRNA from 1 species